GAUGAACGCUGGCGGCGUGCCUAAUACAUGCAAGUCGAGCGAACAGAUGAGGAGCUUGCUCCUCUGACGUUAGCGGCGGACGGGUGAGUAACACGUGGAUAACCUACCUAUAAGACUGGGAUAACUUCGGGAAACCGGCGCUAAUACCGGAUAAUAUAUUGAACCGCAUGGUUCAAUAGUGAAAGACGGUUUUGCUGUCACUUAUAGCUGGAUCCGCGCCGCAUUAGCUAGUUGGUAAGGUAACGGCUUACCAAGGCAACGAUGCGUAGCCGACCUGAGAGGGUGAUCGGCCACACUGGAACGGAGACACGGUCCAGACUCCUACGGGAGGCAGCAGUAGGGAAUCGUCCGCAAUGGGCGAAAGCCUGACGGAGCAACGCCGCGUGAGUGAUGAAGGUCUUCGGAUCGUAAAACUCUGUUAUUAGGGAAGAACAAAUGUGUAAGUAACUAUGCACGUCUUGACGGUACCUAAUCAGAAAGCCACGGCUAACUACGUG
rnacentral:rRNA from 1 species